AGCUUUGGGUAAUUGAGCACAGCUUAUGUUGUGUUAGGAAGGUCCAUGCUCGCACAGGCUGCGAUGCCUGUAGUGUUUGUGCUCGCUGAAAAAAUAAGGCGGGGCACCGAUUCUUCGGUGACGGCGGAAAAAACGGCUAAUGCUUCGGCGAUGCCCGAGUAUUCCUGAAAAGUGCCACAGUGACGAUACAGGUCGGGAAACUGACCUGGUGGAACGCGGUAAACCCCUCAAGCGGUAAACCCAAACUACGGUAGGGGAGCUUUGGAUAACGAAUUGAAGUGAUUCCAGGGGAGAGUUUUUUACUCUGAGAUAGAUGAUUACCUCGGGGCCAUCAUUACCUGGUGGUGGUUCUACGACAAAACAUGGCCUACAGAU
rnacentral:RNase_P_RNA from 1 species